rnacentral:rRNA from 1 species
GACGAACGCUGGCGGCGUGCCUAAUACAUGCAAGUUGAGCGCUGAAGGUUGGUACUUGUACCAACUGGAUGAGCAGCGAACGGGUGAGUAACGCGUGGGGAAUCUGCCUUUGAGCGGGGGACAACAUUUGGAAACGAAUGCUAAUACCGCAUAAAAACUUUAAACACAAGUUUUAAGUUUGAAAGAUGCAAUUGCAUCACUCAAAGAUGAUCCCGCGUUGUAUUAGCUAGUUGGUGAGGUAAGGCUCACCAAGGCGAUGAUACGUAGCCGACCUGAGAGGGUGAUCGGCCACAUUGGGACUGAGACACGGCCCAAACUCCUACGGGAGGCAGCAGUAGGGAAUCUUCGGCAAUGGACGAAAGUCUGACCGAGCAACGCCGCGUGAGUGAAGAAGGUUUUCGGAUCGUAAAACUCUGUUGGUAGAGAAGAACGUUGGUGAGAGUGGAAAGCUCAUCAAGUGACGGUAACUACCCAGAAAGGGACGGCUAACUACGUG